rnacentral:misc_RNA from 1 species
UGAUAGAGAUGUAGUCAGUGAUAAG